GAGUUUGAUCCUGGCUCAGGACGAACGCUGGCGGCGCGCUUAACACAUGCAAGUCGAGCGAGAACCGGUCCUUCGGGACCGGGGAAAGCGGCGAACGGGUGAGUAACACGUGGGUAAUCUGCCCCCGGUUCUGGGAUAGCCCGGGGAAACCCGGAUUAAUACCGGAUAGCCUUUCGAGUCUUCGGGCUCGUCAGAAAAAGUGGCUUCGGCUACCGACCGAGGAGGAGCCUGCGGCGGAUUAGCUUGUUGGUGAGGUAAUGGCUCACCAAGGCGACGAUCUGUAGCUGGUCUGAGAGGACGAUCAGCCACACUGGGACUGAGACACGGCCCAGACUCCUACGGGAGGCAGCAGUGGGGAAUUUUGCGCAAUGGGCGAGAGCCUGACGCAGCAACGCCGCGUGGAGGAUGAAGGUCCUUGGAUUGUAAACUCCUGUCAGCGGGGAAAAAGGGAUUCGGGUUAAUACCCUGGAGACUUGAUUGUACCCGCAGAGGAAGCCCCGGCUAACUCUGUGCCAGCAGCCGCGGUAAUACAGGGGGGGCGAGCGUUAUUCGGAAUUAUUGGGCGUAAAGGGCGCGUAGGCGGCUUGGCAAGUGGAAGGUGAAAUCCCUCGGCUCAACCGAGGAACUGCCUUCUAAACUGCUUUGAUUGAGUCCGGGAGAGGUCAGUGGAA
rnacentral:rRNA from 1 species